UACGGAGGAUGCAAGCGUUAUCCGGAAUGAUUGGGCGUAAAGCGUCCGCAGGUGGCUGUGUAAGUCUGCUGUUAAAGAGUCUAGCUCAACUAGAUACAAGCAGUGGAAACUACACGGCUAGAGUACGUUCGGGGCAGAGGGAAUUCCUGGUGUAGCGGUGAAAUGCGUAGAGAUCCGGAGGAACACCAGUGGCGAAGGCGGCUGCCUGGGCCUGGGCCUGACGCUGAGGCGCGAAAGCGUGGGGAGCAAUCCGG
rnacentral:rRNA from 1 species